rnacentral:rRNA from 1 species
GACGAACGCUGGCGGCGUGCUUAACACAUGCAAGUCGAGUGCGCGUUUCGUAGCAAUACGGGAUGGCGCACGGCGCACGGGUGAGGAACACGUGGGCAACAUGCCCUCUGAUGGGGAAUAACCCCGCGAAAGCGGGGCUAAUACCGCAUAAGAUUCCGGGGACCUCGGUCCCUGGACUGAAAGCCCGCAAGGGCGUCGGAGGAGUGGCCCGCGGCCGAUUAGCUUGUUGGCGGGGAACGCCCACCAAGGCAAUGAUCGGUAGCCGGUCCUGAGAGGAUGAUCGGCCACACUGGAACUGAGACACGGUCCAGACUCCUACGGGAGGCAGCAGUGGGGAAUCUUGCGCAAUGGGC